UACGUAUGGUGCGAACGUUGUUUCGGAAUCACUGGGCAUAAAGAGCACGUAGGCGGUUGGAGCAAGUCCAUUGUGAAAUCCCCCGGCCUAACCGAGGAACUGCAUUGGAUACUACUUGACUUGAGUGCAGGAGGGGAGAGUGGAAUUCCAGGUGGAGCGGUGAAAUGCGUAGAGAUCGGGAGGAACACCUGUGGCGAAGGCGGCCCCCUGGGCCGGCCCUGACACUGAGACGCGAAGGCGUGGGGAGCGAACGGG
rnacentral:rRNA from 1 species